AUGGCGAAGGAAGGUAGGGCCGGCGGCCUCGACCUGGAAAUAGUUUGGAUCGCCGACGUGCCAGGAGGAGGAGGCGGCCUCGCAGCGGAAGUAGGCAAGGGCCCGGCGUGCCGGCCUCGCACAGGAAGAGGCAGGAUCGCCGGCGGGCCAGGAGGAGGUGGGGUGGGGAGGGGCGGCAGCGGCGGCCUCGCGCCGCCGGAAGCAGGCAGGGGCGCCAACUGCCGCGCGCCUAAAGGAGGCUUGGGGGCGGCGGUGCGCCGGGCGGAGGCAGGUCGGCGGCGCUGGUGCCAGGAGGAGGCGGGGGAGGCGGCGCCAGGAGGUCGAGCGACGGCGGGAUCUGGCAGAGUGGCGCACGGGGUUACAUGCGCCGGCGGCGGCGGUUCUGAGGGCUGGUGCCGACGGGUCGGUGGGUGGGAGGUGGGGAUCGAGGGAGUGCGGAAGGUGGGGAUCGAGGGAAGUGGGGGACGGUGGGGAUCAUUGUUUUUUUUUCUUUGUUCCAGCGGGUUCGGGAGUUCGGGAACAACGAAUCAGGCAUAUAUAUGGGUGAUCGUGAUCCAAAUAACUAUUCUAAUCCUGAGAUUAUAUAUAUGUGUGUGCGCCCCUACGGCAUCAUCAAUCAUAUUGUGCAUUGCAAAAUAUUUAUAG
rnacentral:rRNA from 1 species